rnacentral:rRNA from 1 species
GUAACGAAGGGGAGGCUAGCGUUGUUCGGAAUCACUGGGCGUAAAGGGCGCGUAGGCGGCUUUGUAAGUCGGGGGUGAAAGCCUGUGGCUCAACCACAGAAUUGCCUUCGAUACUGCAUGGCUUGAGACCGGAAGAGGUAAGUGGAACUGCGAGUGUAGAGGUGAAAUUCGUAGAUAUUCGCAAGAAUACCAGUGGCGAAGGCGGCUUACUGGUCCGGUUCUGACGCUGAGGCGCGAAAGCGUGGGGAGCAAACAGG